AUUAGCUGAAGCAUCUUCGAUAAAUUGGCUGUCUUCGGCUGUCAGUUUAUUAGCAGCUUAUCAGCUUAGUUGUCAAGAUGGGUGGCUGUUGGUCAUGUGUGGCCUGCAGGUCUCACCCAGAGGCAGAACCAAAGGAUGAAGAUGAAGAGGGGGCACUGACAGGUCAUCCCAGAAACCCAACCCAUGUUGCACCAUUUUCUGGGGGACUCCCCAAUGUUUUGGGGGACACCCUGGGGAAAGAGCUCACUGAGGAACCCUCCGUGCCAGAACCUCUUCCAGCACCUCGCAUCACCAACA